rnacentral:rRNA from 1 species
UACGUAGGUGGCGAGCGUUGUCCGGAAUUACUGGGCGUAAAGGGCGCGUAGGCGGUCAUUUAAGUCGGGUGUGAAAUCUUGGGGCUCAACCCCAAGUUUGCAAACGAUACUGGGUGACUUGAGUGCAGGAGAGGGCAGUGGAAUUCCUAGUGUAGCGGUGAAAUGCGUAGAUAUUAGGAGGAACACCAGUGGCGAAGGCGGCUGCCUGGACUGUAACUGACGCUGAGGCGCGAAAGCGUGGGGAGCAAACAGGAUUAGAUACCCCCGUAGUCCCU